UAAAUAUUUCCUUUCGAUUGUUGCCUUCUGGUAAACCAUCAGCAAAGCAAGAUUCAAGUGCAAAUAUCUAGAAUCUGUUUCAUACUUUUAAAAAUGUUUUUCUCAUUAAAAUAUUAUGGGAUAUUUUGAUAUGCAAGGAAAGUUGUCUUCAUAAAUAAUUAGUUUAGUAUCUAACAGUAAUAUUUUUAUUUGUGUAGGUAAAGAAUUCACAAUUUUAAAUGACUGGUGAAAAUAGAACCCAGAUCACUUAUUUGUGGUUAUCAGUGUAAAACAUCUUGGUUCUACAUGGAGUACAACAUUUUGUUAGGCCUGUUAUUGUUGUUUUAUUUGCCAUGGAUAUAAUUCCAUAUUUUCCUUGUA
rnacentral:lncRNA from 1 species